UACAGAGGGGGCAAGCGUUGUUCGGAAUUACUGGGCGUAAAGGGCGCGUAGGCGGCCUGCUAAGUCGAACGUGAAAUCCCUGGGCUCAACCCAGGAACUGCGUCCGAUACUGGUUGGCUUGAAUCCGGGAGAGGGAUGUGGAAUUCCAGGUGUAGCGGUGAAAUGCGUAGAUAUCUGGAGGAACACCGGUGGCGAAGGCGGGUCUCUGGGCCGAUACUGACGCUGAGGAGCGAAAGCGUGGGGAGCAAACAGG
rnacentral:rRNA from 1 species